rnacentral:rRNA from 1 species
CCUACGGGUGGCAGCAGUGAGGAAUAUUGGUCAAUGGACGCAAGUCUGAACCAGCCAUGCCGCGUGCAGGAAGACGGCCCUAUGAGUUGUCAACUUCUUUUGUACGAGAGUAAACGCAGAUACGCUUAUCUUUCUUUAAUUAUCGUACGAAUAAGGAUCGGCUAACUCCGUGCCAGCAGCCGCGGUAAUACGGAGGAUUCAAGCGUUAUCCGGAUUUAUUGGGUUUAAAGGGUGCGUAGGCGGUCGGCUAAGUUAGAGGUGAAAGCCAGAGGCUCAACUUCGGAAUUGCCUCUGAUACUGGUCGGCUAGAGAGUAGUAGCGGUAGGCGGAAUGUAUGGUGUAGCGGUGAAAUGCGUAGAGAUCAUACAGAACACCGAUUGCGAAGGCAGCUUACCAAGCUACAUCUGACGUUGAGGCACGAAAGCGUGGGGAGCAAACAGGAUUAGAUACCCGUGUAGUC